UAUAGUAAAACGUAAUGGUGACUUGUUAUGCAAAAUCCAACCUUCCCAUUCUUGCAAGAAAGGGAUCUGUAAGCAUCAUUCAUUUCCAUCCUUAAAAAAUAAUCUGUUUCUUGAUGAUGUCAUAUCAAGGUAGCCCACAUCAACACGACGUGCAUAAUUUUAAGCCGUAAAUCGUUUUCCUAUUAAAUUCCAUCAGUUGUCAAAUUCUGCUUGCUGCUAUUCCCAUCCAAGCCAUAAUGGCAAGGUUUUGGAGGCCACUGUGUUUAUUAGAGACAUCUGAGAGCUACAGCUACUGCUCUAUUUGAUCCCAUUAAGUAAAGGGUUUUGCACAUAAUUAAUAUCAUCUUACCCCUUUUAAUAUGCUAAAUUAUGGGUAUGAAAACAAUAGAACACAACCACUUCUUAUGUAUAUUGGAUUCCUUUUGGAUUUUGAGCAAAUUUAUGAGUAUGAAAACAAUAGAAAACAACGCACUACUUUCUUUAUAUGUGAAAAACUACAUAUCUUUGCUGAAUUUUCUGAUGCACAAAUAGAUAGACCAAGUCUAUGCAGACUAGACUAUAUCAUCUGCUGAAUUGAAGAUCUCAGGUACAUUUUCAUCUUUUCUCUCUGUUUGGGUUUACUUUCAUCUCUCAUCUUCAACAAGUUGAAUCCUUUUAUUGGGUUUGUUUCUGUUUGAUAUCUGGUGGGGAAUUGGAUCAGUUCAACAGGGUUGAAUCGGCUUCUUCGAGCACACUAGAUGCUUAGGGGUUGUAAUGUUACUGAUCAAAACACACAAAAUACUUUAAACUUUACUAAUGCUCAUCUUGUUUGUGGUUUUCGUACAAUUUUGCAAUAUUUAGAGUGUGAGUUUUUAACUAGUGUGGUGAAUUCGGUAUAGUCAAGUAAUGGGUGAGAAUGCUGGGUUGAUCUAAUGUUGUUGCCAACUCUGUAUGAACUAUGAAGGACUAAAGUAAGUUAAUCUUAGCGCUCUGCACUUGGCCAAAUUAGCUGACAUUAUUCACACCUACCUUUACACUCAUUUUUCUGUCAUAUAUGAUCAUUCUCUCGCAACGUGAUCUGGGUGUGACCUUAGAAACUAUAGUAAAACGUAAUGGUGACUUGUAUUGCAAAAUCCAACCUUCCCAUUCUUGCAAGAAAGGGAUCUGUAAGCAUCAUUCAUUUCCAUCCUUAAAAAAUAAUCUGUUUCUUGAUGAUGUCAUAUCAAGGUAGCCCACAUCAACACGACGUGCAUAAUUUUAAGCCGUAAAUCGUUUUCCUAUUAAAUUCCAUCAGUUGUCAAAUUCUGCUUGCUGCGAUUCCCAUCCAAGCCAUAAUGGCAAGGUUUUGGAGGCCACUGUGUUUAUUAGAGACAUCUGAGAGCUACAGCUACUGCUCUAUUUGAUCCCAUUAAGUAAAGGGUUUUGCACAUAAUUAAUAUCAUCUUACCCCUUUUAAUAUGCUAAAUUAUGGGUAUGAAAACAAUAGAACACAACCACUUCUUUUGUAUAUUAGAUUCCUUUUUGGAUUUUGAGC
rnacentral:lncRNA from 1 species